rnacentral:lncRNA from 1 species
CCUUGAACAGAGGCUGAGAUGUCCUCCUUGUCAGGCUUCUAACUGGGUCAACCUGAGUGCUGCUCCAGCUCAGGGUACUAUGCCUGGUAAGUGCUGCCCAGAGCUCCUUGGGAGGGGCAAGGCAAGAGACAUGUGAGCACAGUCUGAGGGACAUAUGGGCAGUUUAUUCUUUGAUGUCCUUGGAAGAGUGGUCAUAAUUUGCGUGAUAUAAGCCAACAACCAAGAUAGAUAAGCCUCAGGAGAGCUAAGGUCAUUUCAACUAACAAAUCACUUGCUCCAUAGUGGAGAAAGCAAACUACAGAUCCAUACACAAACAUGGUAACCAAAAUAUAACACCUGUCUCACAAGCUGUUUGCUUCAUGAAAUAAGAUGAGAAAACAGAAGACAAAGAAUGUAAACAGUUUGCCCAAGAAUCUAGCCAAGAAGUGGUGGACCUAGAUGGAACAAUGCCAGCUCUAAAGCACACACUUGGAUCUACUGACUCCUAAAGGUCCCCGGGUCCUUACCUACAAUUCCAAACUCCAAAAAGCUCUGAAAACCACAAGUUCUUCUAACUUAUUUAACAGUAGACCUGGAUUUGACCUGAAUUAUUCAGCAGCAAAAAGUCUUCUGAACUGACUUGAGGUUACUUCUAGUUUUUAUUUGUCCCAUUUGAUGUAAAUACUCAUACAUUUUCACAGAAAAAUAUAUCAGUUUGCUUGUUUGAUCGUGAGGUUCUGUCCCAAUUGCUGCUGGGAAAUUAAAUUAGAUAUUCUUUAUAAAAUUUGGACUUCCUGAAUUCUGAAACCCCUCUGGCUGCAAUCAUUUCUUUGUAGCUUUGUGGACCCAUGCUUUCUUUCCGGAGCGGACUCUCAACAGGAGUUUGAUGACACCAAGGUUGCUUUACAAUUCACAAAUGCAAUUAGUUUAUCUGUUUCUAAAUGUAUUUGUCUGGGCAUUCAUUUAACAGAUACUUACAGCAUGCCUGCUGUGUACUAAGUCCCAUUUUAGGCGCUGUAAGCAGAGUGAGCCAAAUACAUGUUUUCCUGGCCCACAUAAAGCUUAUAGUCUAAGAGAAAUAAUAACAGGGGAAAAUAAAAGGACAACAUAUUUUCACAAUAGGGUGCUAUGAACCAGAGUGGAUAAGGAUGCCCUGCAUUUUCCUAUGUCUCUAGGCACAUACAAUGGAAACUAGUAUAACCUUUAAUAAUGAAGAAAUAAAAGAAUUUGGGAGAAAAAAACAACAACCCAUAAUUAUUCUAAGAGAGUAGGAAACCGUGUGCCUUGAAAUAUUGCAGUAAUUAUCAGGUUAAAUUUCUAUGAUCGCUGCAAUUUCUAUGAAACCUAGAAAUGUUGGGAGCGUAGGCCUGGCAUAUCUCUUAAAGCAAAAUUAUACUUCUUUUUCAUUCAGACUAAAAGGUCAUAAUUAAAGAUAUAAUGAAGCUAAGUGAGUAAUGGGAUCUGCAAUUCACUGGGGAAGUGCAGGAUGCAUGAAGGCCUCCUCCUAUCCCUGAAUGGGGGUCACCAAGUCAGAUGGCCUUGGGAAUGCCACAGAGUCUAGAACCCUCA